GGGGGAUUAGCUCAAAUGGUAGAGCGCUGGCUUCGCAUGAGAGAGGUAGCGGCAUCAACGCCCGUAUCCUCCA
rnacentral:tRNA from 1 species